rnacentral:rRNA from 1 species
UUCCAGACUCCUACGGGAGGCAGCAGUAGGUAAUAUUGCUCAAUUUUUUAAACCCUGAAUCAGCAACGCCGCUUGUAUGAUGAAGGUUUUCGGAUUGUAAACUCCUUUUGUUAGAGAAGAUAAUGACGUUAUCUAACGAAUAAUCACCGGCUAACUCCGUGCCAGCAGCCGCGGUAAUACGGAGGGUGCAAGCGUUACUCGGAAUCACUGGGCGUAAAGAGCGCGUAGGCGGGAUAGCAAGUCAGAUGUGAAAUCCUAUGGCUUAACCAUAGAACUGCAUUUGAAACUGUUAUUCUAGAGUAUGGGAGAGGUAUGUGGAAUUCUUGGUGUAGGGGUAAAAUCCGUAGAGAUCAAGAGGAAUACUCAUUGCGAAGGCGACCUGCUAGAACAUAACUGACGCUGAUGCGCGAAAGCGUGGGGAGCAAACAGGAUUAGAUACCCUAGUAA